rnacentral:rRNA from 1 species
UGGCAUCUAUUUAAUAUUAAAGUAUUACGGUUAGAGAGUGGGCAUGCGUCCGAUUAGUUUGUUGGCGGGGUAACGGCCCACCAAGGCUACGAUCGGUAGGGGACCUGAGAGGGGUAUCCCCCACACUGGUACUGAGACACGGACCAGACUCCUACGGGAGGCAGCAGUGAGGAAUAUUGGACAAUGGGCGCAAGCCUGAUCCAGCCAUGCCGCGUGCAGGAUGAAGGCCCUCUGGGUUGUAAACUGCUUUCUACGGGAAUAAACCCCUUUACGUGUAAAGGGCUGAAGGUACCGUAGGAAUAAGCACCGGCUAACUCCGUG